CCUACGGGAGGCAGCAGUGGGGAAUAUUGCACAAUGGGGGAAACCCUGAUGAAGCGACGCCGCGGGAGUGAAGAAGUAAUUCGGGAUGUAAAGCUCUAUAAGCAGGGAAGAAAAUGACGGUACAUGAGUAAGAAGCGCCGGCUAACUAUGUGCCAGCAGCCGCGGUAAUACCUAGGGGGCAAGCGUUAUACGGAUUUACUGGGUGGAAAGGGAGCGUAGACGGCAGGGCGAGUCCGGAGUGAAAGGCGGGGGCUCAACCCCCGGACUGCUCUGGAAACUGUACGGAUGGAGUGCAGGAGAGGUAAGUGGAAUUACUAGUGUAGGAGUGAAAUCCGUAGAUAUCUGGAGGAACAUCAGUGGCGAAGGCGGCCUGCUGGACGACAACUGACGGUGAGGCGCGAAAGCGUGGGGAGCAAACAGGAUUAGAUACCCCAGUAGUC
rnacentral:rRNA from 1 species